AGACUGCACUGACCUACACCGAAUACACACUCUUCCAAUAUACAUCCAUGUUUACAGCACCACCAUAUCAAACUGUUUACAUGCUGUUUUGCACAGUUUUUGGUCUGUUGCACACGCUGUCUUUCAUAUUUCAAUCAAUUGCUGUUUUGCAAAAUUCAUUGCAAUACCUAUAUAUAUAACUGCUACAUUAAGUGUUCGUUCAUUUACUUACUGUACUACAGUAGGCUAUGUACUCUGGUCAUUGCUGCUUUUGUGUAUUUGUCUUUUGUGUUUUGUUCACAAUGUCUUUUGUCUUUUAUCUUGCAGUUUGCACUAGGUUGCACAGAUGCACUUUAUGUGGCUAAGACUUACUUAAGCCAUUAGCUCUGUGUUGUUCUAUGUAGCUUUCUUUGUUCUAUGUAACACCAUUGUCCUGGAGAAAUGGUGACUCACUUGACUUGACCCUUGAUUAUGUCUGUUCCAUGUCUGUCAUAAAACGUAAACCUAAAUAAAACCUUCUCAGAUAAUUUGAUAAAAUGUUUUCCUAAAGCAGAAAUGUCAAUUAUACGACUGGAGGAAAAACUGGAUAUUUAUCGCAUACACCUUAACAGAAAUCAUUAGGAGUUAAGCAGCAGGACCACAGACUCUAUGAGCAACAUUUCUUUAUGAAGAGUCUCAAAUGAACAGUGAAACUGGUUCAACCAAAUAAUACUGUUUACUAAGGCAAGUGUCAUAGCAGCAGUCACAAUCAGUCUGUCUUUGUGUACCAUUGGCCUCACAAAACAAGAAUAUCCAGACCAGUUUUAUUUGAGGAAAAAGGAUGCAAGUUAAGGAUAACAUUUUUACACAUAUGACGUCAAAGGCAAAACUUAGAAAAUCAAAUAUUUUGCUGUAUAUUGACACAAGGCAAAAAAAUCACAAAGAAGACAUUGAUCUUCAGUCGAAACUGGAACAAAUUCACAGAAAAUACAAAC